rnacentral:rRNA from 1 species
AAAAAGUCCGUAGUCAUAGAAGGGCAAAGAGAGAUGCGAGGUCUCACAGUGCGAUGAUGGAGGAGCCGAUGGGGAACAUAGUAUACCAGGGCGAGAGAUGAAAUGCCAAGACCCCUGGUGGACUGAGCGAGGCGAAGGCGAUGUUCUUGUAGGCAUUCGGUGAUCAAGGACGAAGGCUGGAGUAUCGAAAGUGAUUAGAUACCGCAGUAGUUCCAGCAGUAAAAGAUGCCGACAUGCUCAUUGGACACAGUGGGCAGGGAGAAAUCUUAGAGUUCGGGCUCUGGGGAUAGUAUGCUCGCAAGGGUGAAAAUUAAAGAAAUUGACGGAGCUACACCACAAGGAGUGGAUUGUGCGGCUUAAUUUGACUCAACGCGAGGAAACUUACCAGGGCCAAGUAUUGUGUAGAAACGAGCAAUACAGGAGUGGUGCAUGGUCGUUGGAAAUUGAUGGGAUGACUUUGACCUUAAAUGGUUGAAUGAGUGAGAUCUUUUGGACAUGUUCCGCACGGAACAGGAAGGAAAAGGCUAUAACAGAUCCGAGAUGCCCUCAGAUGCCCUGGGCUGCACGCGCAAUACAAUAGCAGGUAGAGAGAGAGACAGGAAGGUGCUCAGAUGGACUAUGUGCUGUAAGGCACAUACGAAAGAGGAA